UUAACUUGAAUCAUUAAACACCUUUCAGGAAAGUACCAUGAAUUCUCUGGGUUGGGAGAAAUUUGUGACAUGGAAAUGAAAUCAUAUUGUUUUGGAGGUGAAAGUUAUCUUUGAGGUCAUCUGGUCCAGUUUCCUAAUUUUACAGAUGAAGAAGAUUAAGAUCUAUCAUGGUUAAGCGAUUAGUCUGUGCUCAUACAGCUAGUUAGUAUUAUAGACAAGAACAAAAUUGAGUUUACUGACUCUGGGUCCAGUGUACUUUCCACUGAUCACAGGAAAUAAUUGAGUUUACUCUGUUUACACUUGCAUUUCAUUGAAUAUCUUUACGGACCAUGAUAAUCAGAUUAUAUCAGACUAUGAUACAUCCAUUUGCACCAUGGAUCUUCUGCUUGUAUAUUUCAUCAGUCUCAGGCCAGUUGGUAGGUGAAAUUGACAUUCAUUUUUCUACAAGCCAAGAAAGGAGUUCUACAUUUCUGUUAAGGGGUUAGGAAGAAAGAGAGAAGGAAUUAAAAGGCAAGGAUUACAAGAUUAAUCUAAAAAAGGUCUCAAUAGAAACUUAUUGAGGAAUGAAGAAUUAAUUUAGUAGUCAAAUAAUGUUAUUUAAGGGAUAGAAAAUCAUGGUUUUAUGUGUACUUUGGUUCAAAUCUUAUUUGGCUUGAGAAAAAGACUUUCCUGGGACUAUUAACCUAAAAUUCUUUACUGUAGAAUAAAGUCUGUUAAUGUAGGUCAUUUUACCUUUCAGGCUGCUUUGCCUUGGCUAAAAUAAAUAUUCAGCUAUAAAUGGCAUUUUGGUUCAAGUUGUAUUAUUACAGGAAAAGUUGCAUUUUUAAAAUUGUUCAGUGAAUUUAUUUAAUCUGUCAUUCUAACAUAUUGCUGUUUUCUUAAGUAGAAAGCAGAGUUCCUAUGGUGAGAGCAGAGGUGCCAUAAUAUUUAUAGUAUGUUAGACUCGUUUAUAAACUAUUAUACUAGCUAGAAUUUGCAGAAUAUUUAAUCUUGUAGGUUACAAUUUUUUUCCUCUGGCUUUUAAUAUAUUCAUUUAGCCAUUUUGAUUUUCUUUAUUCUUUGAAGAAGAACUCAGAGAAUGCUAUUUUUUUUUCUAGAAGAUUAGUAAUAACUACUGUUAUAGGAUUCUUUUUUUUUUUUUUUUUCCGAACAGAAGAAUGCAUGUGCCUUACUGUCUUAUCUGGAGGUAAUUUUUUGAAAAACCAAUUAACACAUCAAGUUUUUAAUGGAACAUAAAACUUAAACCGCUCAAAACUGAGAGAGGCAAAGAUUGGUGACGCAGCGUUAGUUUCUCCUGGAAGAGUUAAUAUAUCCAGGCAAACUUUAGUAAACACAUUGGUGUUGAGAUUUCUGUACUGUGUCAGAGGAGGUGAGGGAGAAGAGGGAUGAUCAGUAGAAGAUUAUGGUUUCUUGAACUGGGGACAGUCACUUUUUAUAAAUCACAUAUCAUGGUCUGGAGUUUCGAAGCUGGAAAGGAGGAGUGAAGAUUAUGGGCUCUGGAUACCCCACAGGUUGGGUGGUGAGGAUAGGCUCCUUUGGUAGACAUUAUAGAGAGCUCCAUUUGAGGAAAGGAAUUUCAGAAUAGCUUCUAGAAUUUGAGAGAAUCGCAGCUGUCUUUUCCCGUGGCUUCAUUUGUUAGAAAUUGUCGUAAAGAAGCCCAAUUUCUGUUGUUGACAGUAUGGAGUCUUGGUGUUUUGGACAUCCUCCAUUCUGGGAAAUAAGUCCCAAACCAGCCCUACUCCAUAAUAUCCCAGCAUAUUCCAGUGAGCAGUAUACUACUUGUCAGGAGAACUGGGUUCUGCCUGUGACACUUAACAACUUUGUAUCCUGGCCUAGGGCCUGCAUUGUGUCACCUGUACGGUAGGGGAGGCACUAACCAGCCCAGAAUAGAUUUAAGCUGAUUCUUUCUGACCAGAUCUUGAGGUUUGGAGCCUGGCCUGGUGCAGCCUGGAGCUCAUUUCCAUCCGCAGGGACCUUUGAGAAGGGAGGGGCAGAGGCCUGAUGGAGCCCAGUCUUUUCUGUUCCAGGCUUCCCUGUCAUCUUCCAUAUUAUCAGGCUAGGGCAUCUUGCCCUAGAGCCUCCUGAGGAUUCACUGUCUGCUUGUUUAUCUUUCAGUGAGGAUCUUAGCAGAUCUUGAGUCAUUUUUGAGUUUUUAAUGAUGACAUUAGCAGACAAAAAUGCAGUGUUAUUACAGUUUUUUAAGUUCUUACGCUUCAGUGUUCAGUAGAUCCCCAGUUAUUAUCUGUCGUUCAUUUACUCAACAAACACUGAAGGAUAAACAUUUGAUUAAGACACAGACCUUGUCUUUAAGAAGGGUGUUAGAGGGAAGGAGGAGCAUAGAUGAGACCCGGGGAGCUUUGGGGUUGGUGUUCCCCUUUGGGAGUCCUCUGCCUCUUGGCUCUCUGGCUUCCUGCAAGGAAGAAGGAAGGCUGUGACUAGUGCAGAUCAAAUUUGCAGGAAGGUCUGAGACUCAAGUCAGCUUUUAGGGAAGUAGAAAUAUACCAGGACCUCCACAUCUGUUACUCUGCUUCCGUGACACCCAGGAAACUUGAAGCUUGAUGUACAUGCUCGUGGCAGCAUGGUGGUAGACUGUUUCCUCAUGAAGCUGUUGGGUGAGGGUGGAGGAAACUCACAUCAGUGAUAAUGGUGCAGUGGGAAUCGUGGGUUAGGGCUCAAAGGAGUGGGCUAGAGAGGUGGGAGGGAAGGCUUUUUGUUUUUCUGGUAAUGCAGCUGUUAACCUUACAGAGAGUCCUAAAAUUAAGAUUUUUUAGCUAUAUACAUGUGAUUUACUUUGAGGCUAACUAGGGAAAAUAGGGCAUUUAUGAGAUUAAUUUCUUUGGGCAGCUAGAAUGUGUCUCCUAGGUGCAAAGACCCCAAACAUGCAGGGAUUUGGAUCUUGAUUAUGUCCUUACUUAACCCCACAAAUAGUGUGAAGUUUAAUAACAGUAUCAUAUUAGUAUUUUAAACUUAUAUUAAAUAAUAUGGUAGUAUAUUACAGUAGUUUGUUUUCAACUAUCUAGUUGAUAGUGCAAGAACUGUAAAGCCUCUCUUUUCUUCAGAACUGAAAAUGAAACUAAUUUUUGUGAAGCUCCAGAUUAAAAAUAAUCUGAGUUGAUUUUAAGAACUGUGCAUGAAAAGAAAAUUAAGUUUUUUAUGCAAAAUCGUUAGGAUCUUUAGGCUCCAUGGAACACAGAUUUGCAUGGCGCUGUUACCUGGGUUUUUACUGAUUGUAAAAGAUACUGAGUACUUAACAUGGGGGUUUUUGGAAGCAAGGUGACAUCCUGCUCAUUGCAGUUAGGCUAAUGAUAGCAUAAAUAGUAAGGUACCGGUCACUAUUUCAAGUGCAAAGAAACAUCUGUUCAUAAAGUACUAAAAAUGGUUCUUAUAUGAAGGUGCAUGCAUUUGGUUUAGGGUUGGUUUUUGUUUGGUUUUAUCUUAAUUAAUUACUUUGCUUCCUGCCAUUAAGGAUAUGUGUGGAUCAUGUUAAUAAUACCCUGGGAAAAGAAAUGAGCAAGUAUUUGAUUGACAGAUAAAUAUGGAUGCACAGGUAUAUUGUAGAUGCUUCCACAUCUGUGUUUCCACGUAUAUCUGAAUAGAUAGAUUUUUAAUCUCACAUAUGCACCAAAUUAGUUGAGCACGUUUGUUGAGUCCUUACAUGUGCCAACCACUGUCCUCAGUGAUUUGCAGAACCAGGAUGAGUAAGGCAGAUCCUAUCCUAAGGUGUUGACACACUAAUAGGGGAGAGAAGAUUGCAAAAUAAGCUUUAUGCACAUUUAAAUAGAAGAUUGUAUCAUUGGAGAGUUAUAAGUAAAGCCUUAAAGAGUCCUCAGGAAGGCGAGUACUCCUAGUCUAGGGAAUCAGAAAAAGCUUAAUGAAGGAGAUGGCAUUUUGAGCUGAAAGUAGACUUGAAUUGUUGUAGAUAGAGGGUCCUGCACAGGUGAAGGCUCCUGGAGAGGAAAUCAUGGGCUGUACCUGGGGAGCAGUGAGUAGUUAAGACUGGUGAAGUGUAGAGAGAGUUAGGGAUAUAUGGAUCUGGGUUACGUGGGACAGUGUGGAGAAGGUGGACAAGGGCCAGGUCAUGGAGUAUUGACUUUAUUCUUUGUUUUGGGUUUUUGACCUGGAAGAUGCCCUGAUUAGAGUUUUGCUGCAGGAAUAUGGUGACUGUGUAGUUGGAGCGUAGAGGCUGGGACAUGGAUGGGCAUGGGAGCAGAGUGCUGUGGUCUUAGAUAUUAGGAGACUUUUGCCAUAAUUUAGACAGGAAGUAAUGAGGAGGGCAUAAAGUAAAAAGGUGAUGUGUAAAAGAAAUAUUUUGGGAUAAACUGGGUGGGUAUUUGGACCUGAUUAGAUUAGGUUAUUUAUUUAUUCAAUAAAUAUUUACCAAUAAUCUUCUUCUGCCCCACACUAAGGUGAGCUUAGUGUUCCCUGGCUGGGUGAGAUUGAGAAGCUGGAGGUAUUAAAUAUAGCUUUAGGUUUCAGCCCUGGGAGACCAGGAAAGUGGUGAUGCAGAAAUCUGAGAACACCCUCCUUUUUACGUGGGCCUUGAGGGGAGUGUAAAUUUAUCUGGUCUCCUGCUUUCAGAUAAACCAUUGCAGACAGAUGAGAAUCUCAUCUCGCAUUAUAAACUACCACCAGAGAAAAGGAUUAGCAGUGAGCUGUUAGUGGCCUUCAUUUUUUAGAGUGUUUAGGGUAGAGCAGACAGCUUUAAAAACCAUCUAUCUAGCUAGUCCUCUUUAAAAUACUCCGUCAUGAUCAGUGUGUGUUUAACCGUGGGGCCCCAACCAGCUGCCUUCUCUGCUAUGGUCUGCAAGCCUGACAUUCUGACUUCCUAUCAGUUUUUUGGAACGAACUUUCCUGUCUCCCCUUUUCAGGGAAAAAUUAAAGAAGCCUUUAAAAAUGGUAGGAUCAUAAUUAUUUAGAGUCAAGAUAGUCAGGUAAUUAAUUUUACCACUCUUUUUGUGCAGAGUUCUAAAGUUUACUGGUUUUAGGUAAGAGAAAAUGUGGCUGCUUUCUACAAGAGGGCCCCAAUUCAGUUUUGGAGCCUUGACCAAGAGAUUUGUGAAGGUCAGAAGGAAGCCCAUUGGUGAAGGCAUAUGAUAAAAGAAAAAGGAGGAGGAUACAAGGAGAAUUUACUCUAAAUGGAAGAAGAUCUGCAGGUCUCAGUGGGGGGCUUCAGAAUAGAGAAACACAGUAGGAAGCAAAAACGUGAAGGUGUUGAACCUCCGUUUCUUACUGUAAGGUAGUGCAGCUCAACGUGAUACCCACAGACAGGGAUUUGCCUGUGAAUCGUUUAUAGCUGACCUGUGAUGAACUAUAUACAGAGGAGAAUAAGGGUGUAGAAACUUUAACAAUUUGACAGGCCAACUUUAAGUCUAUUCAAUCUAAUAAAAAAUUGGGACUUUUAUUUUGUGUAUCUUUUUUUUUUUCCUUUUUUAAAAUUUCACUUAGUAGUUACUAUUAUUCUUUUGCAUUUUAUAAAAGUAUUGGUCCCAGAUAGGUUGGGGAAGGAAGGGCACCUUCACUGCGGGGAGUUUGAGAAGGCAUGUUGUAGGUUGUGGAGAUGGUAGUUGGGGAGGUUUUACUCCAAGUGCUUGGUUUGGGCAGUGGGAACGAUGCGUGCACAGACCAGGAGCAGGUGGGAUCUCAUCUUAGUGCCUGAAGAAAAGGGGCAUGACUGAGACAGAGUCUUGUGACUCUGGGGAGUUGUGGGUUGGAGGAUGGUGUUUGGACACAGGGUGCCCACACUCGAGUGAGGCCCAGUCCCAGUGUUUAGUAGGAAUGUGCAUAUCGCCCUGCUGGGGACUUUGAGGCUGGUUAGGGGCUUCCUGCAGCCUGAGUAGGGGCUGUGGGACCAUCACCAGUAGUGUCGUCUUUGGCUCACAGGACACGAAUAGGGUUAUGUCAUCUUCUGUGCUCUUAGCUUGCUUUUCAUCCUUUAUUGGUCUCUGUUCUUUCCCACCUCGACUCUGCCUAGACAGACGUAUUGCACAAACCUUAAUGUUGAUUUUUCCCUGUUUACUGAACCUUUCUUUAAAAUUCUUCUAACAUGUGGGCAUCUGGGUGGUUCAGUCAGUUAAGCAUCGGACUUCAGCUCAGGUCGUGAUCUCAUAGUUUGUGGGUUCGAGCCCUGUGUCAGGCUCUGUGCUGACAGCUCAGAGCCUGGAGCUGCUUCAGAUUCUGUGUCUCCUUCUCUCUGCCCCUCCCCCAUUCACACUCUGCUCUCUUUCAGUAAAAUAAACAUUAAAAAAAAAAUUAAAAUUCUUCUAACAUGAAGAGUGAUUCCUUCUGUUGAUAUUUUUCCUGGACCACUUGUAUUCAAAGCCAUGCACCUUUCCAUAGGCCUAUUCUUAACAGUGAAACUUAUCUGACAGUGGCUGUUUUUCCUUUCCUGUGAAAGGUGGUGUCAUGAUGAAUGCCCUACACAUAUUAACACCAGCAAAGCAAAUUCUGGGAUCCUGGGAUGGCAAUUUUAUAAUUUUUUCUAUCUUUUCCGCUUUGCUGGAAGCGACAGGAUAUUAAACCACCAAACUGGCGUGGUCCUCGGCUGCCUGCCAAUGGAAUAUUUGGGGAAAGAAUGGACCAGCUUUUGUUUCUCUUGCCUUCUGUGUAGCCUUGGGGUGGAUUCUGAGGGGAUGUUCCCCCCCGCCCCCCCCAGAACUAACCCAUUUGGUAUUGAGAAAGCAGGAAAGCGAGUUUUCCUGUUACGAGCAGUGAACAAAAAGCAAGCAGCGGAUGGAGAUAUCCUGUUGGAGAAGGCUUGGGGGAGAGAAUGCAGACAAAUGCACCUCAUUCUUUCUGCGUCUUUAAGGAAUCUGAGGGGAUGGGAAGGAAAUCAGUCACUGCGGGCCAAGUCAAAUGCUUUUCUUUUUAUUUAUGGUGCUUAAUAAGAUGGUUAUAAGUUUAUGCUUUGUGAUUUAAAAACUUGUCAGACACAGAGAUCUAUAGCACAUGACAGAUUAGAAAAAUGAAACAAUUAUUCUGUUUCUCAUGAGGUCAUUCGAAGUUUGCCUGUAAGGGGUCAAUGAACUGAAACUCUAUCCAAGUUAUAUUUAUUUUUAGGUUUAAAAAUCACAUAAAAAAGGCAAAUUCUUAGGGCAAGUGGGUGGCUCAGUCGAUUGAGUGUCCAACUCUUGAUGUUGGUUUAGGUCAUAAACAUAGGGCUGUGGGAUCGAGCCCUGUGUUGGGCUCCAUGUUGAACGUUGAGCGUGCUUAGGAUACUCUCUCUCUCUCUCUCUUUCUUUCUCUGUCUCCCCCCAUCCCCCUCUUUCCCUCACUCAUGUGCUCUCUCUCUCUCUCUCUCUCUCUCUCAAAACAAAACAAAAAACUCUAAUUCUUCCAAAUUAGAUUUAUAGGAUGGUUUGUCAUAACCUCCUAGGGAAUCAUUUGUUGGUUCUUUUUAAAAAGAACUAACUUUUGCCUCUCUUAUUACAGGAGCAGUUCAUGUUUAUUAUAGGAAAAUUAGAAAACACCUAUGGGCAACUGAAUGGUACAGGAAUGGGCUGGAAAGACUUAGACGUGGAAAAUUAGAGCAGUGUGGCGAAGGAGAGAAAACCAGGGUUUUCUGGCAGCUGUGGGAGUGGAGACAGGGUCAGGGAAGAUCCUCUUGAAAACUCUCCAUGGAAGCUGUCUUGCCUGCAUGCCACAUGUUCACUGGUAACUUUUUACCUUUGAGGUUGGCCUUCCAUUCUGCCAUGGGUUUUAGACCUGAUGAUUUCCAAGUUUGUUUGGAGCUAGAAAACUGUGUAGUGGUCAGUUGAGAAGCUGGUCAACUCAGGGUAUUUCAUAUCUUGUCAGUCAAGGAGAAGGAGUGCUGGGCAAGAAGGAAGUCUGAAGAUAGAUUUAUAUUAGUGAGUGAGUGGUGUGUGUGUGUGUGUGUGUGCGUGUGUGUGUGUGUGUGUGUUUGCGUGUGUGAGGGAGGGAGAGAGGAUAUCUUUGAGAGACUUGGUUGUAAGAGAGAUAAAGAAAAUAUAAAAGAGAAGAUACAGGAGGAUACAACAAUUUUUUUGAGGGGAAAAGAGGAAAUGUACAUUGGCUUCUGCCCUUUUGCAUUAUCUUCUUGACCUUCCCAUUCCCUCCAUGUUUUGCCAUAUUGACAAAUGCUUAGGUGUUUUGUGGGAUGACACUUCUCCCUUUUUCUCAGUAAACAUUUACAGAGCAGCUAUCAGUAGGUCAUACUUUCAGUCCAUUUUAGUUUAUAAAGAUAGUGUGAGAAAUCCUUAUAAGGCAUAGGAUUAAAUUGUCUUGAGAAAUCCUUAUAAGGCAUGGGAUUAAAUUGCUUUGAGAAAUCUUUAUAAGGCAUGGGAUUAAAUUGUCUUGGGCUGGGGUGCCUGGGUGGCUCAGUCAGUUAAGUAGCUGACUUGAUUUUUGCUCAGGUCAUGGUCUCAUGGUCUCAUGGUUCAUGGGAUCGAGCUGUAUGUAGGGCUCUGUGCUGACAGGAUGGAGUCUGCUUGGUGUUCUCUCUCUGUCUCAAAAUAAAUAAACAUUUAAACAGAUAAAUUGUCUUGGGCUUUUUUUUUUUUAAUCUGUGGAAACAUGUUUAAUAUCAAAUCUACUAGCUAUUUUAUUAUAGGUAAGGCAGGAUUAACAUGUAAAUGGAAGGUGUAGAAGCUUGGACUAGAUAACACGUUGCUUUUGGUAGGUUCUGUAAUAAAUAGACAUUGACUACUGUUACAUAGUAGCCACUGGGCUAGAAGCUGGGAAAGAAUUAUAAAUUGGACAGAUAUGGUGCUUGAUCUCACAGACCUUCCCUGAUCAGGAGAUUAACAGGUAAUCCGUUCCAACAUAGUGGGAUAGGAAUUCUGAAAAGAAACAUGUGGGAUGUUCUGUGAUGACAUAGGAAAGAUGCCUGUUCUGGACUAGAAGGAGUGACUAGGCUGAGACCUGAAUGAUAAGAAGAAAUGGGCCAGAUAAAGGGAGAUAUUUUAUUCUAACCUUAGGGAACAGUGUGUGCAAAGGCCUGGAGGCAAGAAAAAGCAUGGAA